rnacentral:lncRNA from 1 species
AGAAAUCAUACAACAACCUCAAAGCCACACAAAAGACUAUAACAGUUCUGCUUCUCCUAAUUCUUCUCUUACUAUGGGUGCUCCGUCGAAUACAGUGAUCGUGUCGGUUACGAUGCUGCAGCAUGCUGAUGGAGAUCGUUGCAACCGCUAUCGUUAUGGCGAUAGUAUUGCUGCCGAAUGGCGUGGUAAUGAAGGCGACGAUGGGGAUGAUGACGACGACGGUGGAGAUGACGAUUUCGCCCCUGCUGCUUAACUAGAAUCAUGGUGAUGAUGUAUGAUGAUGGUUAUAGGGUCCAUAACUGCAUAAUUAGUAAGCUAAUGUAUUAGAGCGGCUUUUUCUCUUUAUGUAAUUGACUUUUAUAUAUAUCACGAGUCGAGUUUUUCAUCCAGCUGGUAGGCCUGACAUAUAUAAUAUUUUUAAUUUUGAUUUUCUUUUUGUAUUUGCUUAGCUUAAUUGGAGAAAUAUUAAAAGAGUGUGAUGAGUACUAACUCCUUUGGCCGAGAAGACUACUAAGACUAACUGUCCGGACUUCUUGAGCUAACUCAAGGCCCAUUUAGAGUUUCUGAUGUAUAUUUUCCCAGAAAUCCACCAACACAAAGAACACAAUCAUACAAACAACAACAACAAUCAGAAGCUGAUAUUCUCUGCUUGAUUCGACUUCUUCUUCUUUCGAUAUGGGUGCUCUGUUGAACAUUGCCAUGUUGGUUAUGAUGCUGCAGCAUGCAGAUGGUAAUUGCUGCUGCUAUCAUAAUUAUGUCAACACUACUGUUAUUGCUUCCGAAUGGCGGUGGUAAUGAAGGCGACGAUGGGGAUGAUGACGAAGACGACAGUGGAGAUUACGAUUUCGCUCCUGCUGCUUAAUUAGCAUGAUGAUGAUGAUGCUUGCAACUCAAUAAUUAGUUAGCUAGCUAAUUCUGGCUAAAUAUAUAUAGAGCGCGGCAAAUGCAACACGUACCGUUUUGUAAGAAAUGAGAGGCUGUUUUCUCAUUACAUAUAAUUUGACGUUGGUAGCCCAGCUGACAUAUAUAAUAUUUUUAUUUGUAUGUUUUAUAUUUUCUUAUCCUUAAUUGAGUAAUACUAAUAAUGUGCGA